rnacentral:rRNA from 1 species
CCUACGGGUGGCAGCAGUAGGGAAUAUUGCUCAAUGGGGGAAACCCUGAAGCAGCAAAGCCGCGUGGGGGAGUAAGGUUUUCGGAUUGUUAACUCCUUUUGUUAGGGAAGCUAAUGACGGUAUCUAACGAAUAAGCACCGGCUAACUCGUUGCCAGAAGCCGCGGUAAUACGGAGGAGGCGAGCGUUAUCCGGAAAUACUGGCGUUAAGAGUCCUUAUGGGGGAUAAAGAGGCCGCUGUGAAAUCCUUAGGGUUAAACAUAGAACAGCAGUUGAAACCGUUUUUCUAGAGUAUGGGAGAGGUAUGUGGAAUGCGUGGUGUAGGGGUAAAAUGCGUAGAGAUCAAGAGGAAUACUCAUUGCGAAGGCGACCUGCUAGAACAUAACUGACGCUGAUGCGCGAAAGCGUGGGGAGCAAACAGGAUUAGAUACCCGAGUAGUC